CGAUCAUUUGCAGAGGGAGGAGGGAGAAGUGAGAGCGGCUAGCAAAACCUCUGUGAUUUUCUGCCCUGGAAACAUGUGGAAGAGAUGUCCAGAGAAAAACGAGCAGGAAUUUUCAGAACAGAUGCUCGGGGUUUCUCCUCCAAAGGCCCAGAUUCUGGGAUCCGAGUGGCCCCCUGCAGGAGACCGUCCUCCUGGCAUGAACAGGCCAGUCUCCCUGGGAAGUGGCCAGAAACCAGGGUGCAGAUUGCAGUUCAGAGGAGCCAGGUACUCCCAGGUGACACAGUGGUGAAGAACCCGCUUGCCAGUACAGGAGAUGCAAGAGACAUGGGUUCCAUCCCUGGGUCGGGAAGAUCCCUGGGAGGAGGAAAUAGCAACCUACUCCAGUAUUCUUGCCUGGAAAAAUUCCAUGGACAGAAGGAGCCUGGUGGGAUGCAGUCCAUGGGUUCACAAAAUAGAAAGACACAAUGAUGAUGCGGGUGUGAUUUCCAGACACUCCCUGCAGAGGCAGUGCCAUCGACCCUGGGACCCUGGAAGCAGUUUGGGAAAGAAGGCUCUGCCCGACUCCCUUGUAGAUGAGGGUGGCAGCUCAUCUACACAGAGCACAGAGGUGAGGGGCUGGCCCCAGCACAGGGCUGGGGACUGAGGUUUCAGGUGUUUCUGAACAAGGGCUUGUUCGUCCUGAACUGUGAGCCGAGAGAUGCUCAGAGGCUGG
ensembl:lncRNA